UAACCCGAAAGGUUGCCGUGUCGAAUCCCCGAGCUGACUAGGUAAUACAUCUGUUGUUGUGCCCUAGCAAAGAAGACACUUAACCCUAAUGGCUCUGGAUAAGAGCGUAAAUUAUCUUUAAAUGGUCAUGUACUGUGACAGGUCAGUGCUAUUCCUGUUCAUAAUUGAUGCUUAUUACUGUGACAGGUCAGUGCUAUUCCUGUUCAUAAGUGAUGCUUAUUACCCUAACAGGUCAGUGCUAUUCCUGUUCAUAGGUGAUGCUUAUUACUGUGACAGAUCAGUGCUAUUCCUGUUCAUAAGUGAUGCUUAUUACUGUGACAGAGCAGUGCUAUUCCUGUUCAUAAGUGAUGCUUAUUACUGUGACAGGUCAGUGCUAUUCCUGUUCAUAGGUGAUGCUUAUUACUGUGACAGGUCAGUGCUAUUCCUGUUCAUAAGUGAUGCUUAUUACUGUGACAGGUCAGUGCUAUUCCUGUUCAUAAGUGAUGCUUAUUACUGUGACAGGUCAGUGCUAUUCCUGUUCAUAGGUGAUGCUUAUUACUGUGACAGGAGAUCAGUGCUAUUCCUGUUCAUAAGUGAUGCUUAUUACUGUGACAGGUCAGUGCUAUUCCUGUUCAUAAGUGAUGCUUAUUACUGUGACAGGUCAGUGCUAUUCCUGUUCAUAGGUGAUGCUUAUUACUGUGACAGGUCAAUGCUAUUCCUGUUCAUAAGUGAUGCUUAUUACUGUGACAGGAGAUCAGUGCUAUUCCUGUUCAUAAGUGAUGCUUAUUACUGUGACAGGAGAUCAGUGCUAUUCCUGUUCAUAGGUGAUGCUUAUUACUGUGACAGGAGAUCAGUGCUAUUCCUGUUCAUAAGUGAUGCCUAUUACUAUAACAGGAGGUCAGUGCUAUAACUAGAAUCGUAUGAAUCUCACGUCAUCAUCAUCUCGGAGACAUCUGUGAGUGGCAUUGGGUGACAUAGGGUCCUAUUCCUGCCUUUAAGGGAUGCUGCAUAACAUGUUAAUGCCAUAACCCCAUGGCUAUAAAGCCAUCACAUGCUUACAGACAAAGGUACUACACAGAAGAAGUUGCCCCUAGGCACUGAUUCUGGGUCAGACAUUAGUUGCAUCCCCCUACCAGUUAAAAUUACUGUUGGGGCUAGGUGAUCUGAUCCUAGAUCUGUGGUUAGGGACAACGGUAGAAAUUCCCACCAAGGACAAUGUGACGAGGAGAUAUAACUGGACAGAGAUGAGAGACGUAUAGUGAAUAGGUUGUACCCUGCCUUUGACCAGGCCCCAUAGGAGAUCAAUCAGAGAUACUGUGAGUUAGAGAGAGAUACUGUUUACUGGGACCUAGAUGAAACUGCUGUCUUUAAGGCACUUUAUUAAACACACACACACACAGGUGCACUCAAACACACACACACACACACACACACAGGUGCACUCAAACACACACACACAGGUGCACUCAAACACACACACACAGGUGCACUCAAACACACACACAUAGGUGCACUCAAACACACACACACACACAUAGGUGCACUCAAACACACACAUAAGCACACUCAUCUAAGACAAACAGACAAACCCUACAGGUAACUUUAAGCAGUUAUCUGUAUGUAAAUAGGGCCGUUUGGGGGACACACCCCCACAUUGAGUUCCAGUGAGUCAGGAUGCCUUUCCUCUGUGGCUCCAGGGGCAGCAUGGUACUGUGUGUGUUUGGGAGACUGGUCAUUAUGAAUGAGUAACAUGAUUAUUAACAGACACUUAAUGUCUCUGUGUGACUGAGAGAGAGGAUUCAUUCAUAAACCCUACUGUGAGGUUGUGUGCGUGUGCUUGUGAGUGUGUGUUUCAGUUCAUUGUUUGACUGUAUUUGAUGGGCCAUUAUUAAAGAGUGGUAUUAGGAACCACCCUUGUACACAUGCACACACACACACACACACACACAAUCUCUAGGAAUGGAAAUGAGAUUGUAGGACCCAGCUCUGUGCGGCUGUACAUGUAUGGGUCUGUAUUUUGUAGAUUGUUUUUUGAAUUAAAAUACUAAUAAUUAAUAA